rnacentral:rRNA from 1 species
AGUCUCGUUCGUUAUCGGAAUGAGAACAAUUCAAAUCCUUUAACGAGGAUCUAGCGGAGGGCAAGUCUGGUGCCAGCAGCCGCGGUAAUUCCAGCUCCGCAGGUGUAUAUCUAUGCUGCUGCGGUUAAAAAGCUCGUAGUUGGAUCUGCGUGCUCGGAACUGGUUGGCUCACUGAGUUCAAACUGGUCUCCGGCGCUUUAUUGGCUGGUUUUCCCUUGAUGCUCUUAACCGGGUGUCUUGGGUGGCUAGCACGUUUACUUUGAAAAAAUUAGAGUGCUCAAUACAGGCGUAAAGCCUUGAAUAGUGGUGCAUGGAAUAAUAGAAUAGGACCUCGGCUCUAUUUUGUUGGUUUUCGGAACGCGAGGUAAUGAUUAAGAGGGACAGACGGGGGCAUUCGUAUUGCGACGUUAGAGGUGAAAUUCUUGGAUCGUCGCAGGACGGACGACUGCGAAAGCAUUUGCCAAGAAUGUUUUCAUUAAUCAAGAACGAAAGUUAGAGGUUCGAAGGCGAUCAGAUACCGCCCUAGUUCUAACCGUAAACGAUGCCAACUAGCGAUUCGCAGGCGUUAAACAACGACCUUGCGGGCAGCUUCCCGGAAACGAAAGUGUUCGGGUUCCGGGGGAAGUAUGGUUGCAAAGCUGAAACUUAAAGGAAUUGACGGAAGGGCACCACCAGGAGUGGAGCCUGCGGCUUAAUUUGACCCAACACGGGAAAACUCACCCGGCCCGGACACCGUAAGGAUUGACAGAUUGAGAGCUCUUUCUUGAUUCAGUGGGUGGUGGUGCAUGGCCGUUCUUAGUUGGUGGAGCGAUUUGUCUGGUUUAUUCCGAUAACGAACGAGACUCUGGCCUACUAAAUAGUGGGCGGAUUCUUUCUGUCCGCAACACUUCUUAGAGGGACAAGCGGUGUUCAGCCGCACGAGAUUGAGCAAUAACAGGUCUGUGAUGCCCUUAGAUGUCCGGGGCUGCGCGCGCGCUACACUGAAGGAAUCAGCGUGCUUUCUGACCUUGCCCGAAAGGGCUGGGUAACCCGAUGAAAAUCCUUCGUGAUUGGGAUAGGGACUUGCAAUUAUUUCCCUUGAACGAGGAAUUCCCAGUAAGUGUGGGUCAUAAGCUCGCGUUGAUUACGUCCCUGCCCUUUGUACACACCGCCCGUCGCUGCCCGGAACUGAGCCGUUUCGAGAAGAACAGGGACCGUCGUUGAAGGGCCUUAAUGGGCUUUUCUCUGAUAGAAACUGUUUUA